CGGGUGAGUAACGCGUGGGCAACCUGCCUUACACAGGGGGAUAACACUUAGAAAUAGGUGCUAAUACCGCAAUAAGCGCACAGCUUUGCAUGAAGCAGUGUGAAAAACUCCGGUGGUGUAAGAUGGACCCGCGUCUGAUUAGCUGGUUGGCAGGGUAAAGGCCUACCAAGGCGACGAUCAGUAGCCGGCCUGAGAGGGUGAACGGCCACAUUGGGACUGAGACACGGCCCAGACUCCUACGGGAGGCAGCAG
rnacentral:rRNA from 1 species